rnacentral:rRNA from 1 species
GAUGUGAAAGCCACGGCUCAGCCCGUGGAAGGUCAUUGGAAACUGGGGAACUUGGUGCAGAAGGAAGGUAAAAUUCAAGUGUAGCAGUGAAAUGCGUAGAGAUUUGGAGAACACCCAGUGGCAGGCGACUUUGGUCUGUAACUGACACUGGCGCAGAAAGCGUAGAACAAACGGAUUAGAUACCUGGUAGUCCACAUAAUAAACGAUGAGUGCUAAGUGUUAGAGGUUUCACCAUUUAGUGCUUACCUUCUUGCAUUAAGCACUCCGCCUGAGUACGACGCAGGCUGAGCUCAAAGGAAUUGGGGCGGGGCCCGCACAAGCGGUGGAACAUGUGGAUUUAAUUCGAAGCAACACGAAGAGACUGCCUGGAAUCUUGACAUCCUCUGACAACCCUAGAGAUGGGAACUUCGGGGGGACAGAGUGACAGGUGGUGCAUGGUUGUCGUCUGGCUCGUGUCGUGAGAUGUUGAGUUAAGUCCCCCAACAAAGCGCCUUAUGAUAAUCUUAGUUGCCAGCAUUCAGUUGGAAGCACCUGGAGUGACUGCAGUGACAAACCGGAGGAAAGUAGGGAUGACGUCAAUCAUCAUGCCCCUUAUGACCUAGGCUACGUGCUACAAUGGAUUAGUACAAAGGGCUAUGACCUGCGAAGGUAACCGAUCCAUAAAAGCCAUUCUCGGUUCGGAUUUGAGCUGCUGCUCGCGCCACCAUGAAGCCGAAUCGCUAGUAAUCGCGGAUCAGCAUGCCGCGGUGAAUACGUUCAGGCCUUGCUUACACACCAAAUCACACCACGAGAGUUUAACACGAAGUCGGUGAGUGAACUGUGGAGCCCGGCCGCCUAGGUGGGACAGAUGAUUAGAGGUGAAGUCGUAACAAGGUAGCCGUAUCGGAAAGGUGCGGCUGGAUCACCUCCUUU